rnacentral:rRNA from 1 species
UACGAAGGGGGCUAGCGUUGUUCGGAAUUACUGGGCGUAAAGCGCGCGCAGGCGGUUCUUCAAGUCAGUGGUGAAAGCCCGGAGCUCAACUCCGGAACUGCCAUUGAAACUGUAGAACUUGAGGACGAGAGAGGUGAGUGGAAUUCCCAGUGUAGAGGUGAAAUUCGUAGAUAUUGGGAAGAACACCAGUGGCGAAGGCGGCUCACUGGCUCGUAUCUGACGCUCAGGCGCGAUAGCGUGGGGAUCAAACAGG